UACGGGGGGGGCAAGCGUUGUUCGGAAUUACUGGGCGUAAAGGGCUCGUAGGCGGCCAACUAAGUCAUACGUGAAAUCCCUCGGCUUAACCGGGGAACUGCGUCUGAUACUGGAUGGCUUGAGUUCGGGAGAGGGAUGCGGAAUUCCAGGUGUAGCGGUGAAAUGCGUAGAUAUCUGGAGGAACACCGGUGGCGAAGGCGGCAUCCUGGACCGAUACUGACGCUGGGGAGCGAAAGCCAGGGGAGCAAACGGG
rnacentral:rRNA from 1 species